AUGCGUGUGCUUAUGGAUAGCAGCUGGAUUCAGUUCGGCCCUGCGGGACGGGGCUCAGAUGACUGGGGCACAGGCGCAUCUGCACCUCCUCAAACUGAGGACCGUCUUAAGGGCUACUGGAACGAGCUGACUUCAAACAAGGUCGAAGAGAGACCGGAGGCAACGCUGUAUGUUGUCAUAGUAAUGGGCUCCUUGCUCGUCCUUGCUGGAAUUGCCUUCUUUGUUUACAAAAGAUGUUUCAGAGGGAAGGAGAGCACAGCCAAAGUCAUAACUCUGGAUUUUGAUGACGCUGAUGGCACUGCUGAAUUUCUGUCCACUUUGGAGGAAGGAGAUGGCAUUGAAGACGGGAACGAUGGGGUUUUUCUGAUGGUUUAUCUGCCGGCCCCAUACGAGAAAACCCUCACAAAGAUAGCCCGUGCUGCAAGCACCUCCAGCUCCCAUAAUGACAUGGAGAUUGUGCAAUUACACACAGAGACAUCCACUGAUCAAGAGUGAGGAUUCAUUCCCUCUAAUGUAAAAUGUGUAUUACUGAUCCACAUAACGUAUCAACACUAACAAAAAGUACUGUACAUGAUACUACGGUAGCACAAUUGUUCUCAUUGAAGUACACAGUGUAGUGCAUGAAUAUGGCUAUCACACAGCAGUGCUAUCUAAAACCAUCACUGUACCAGGGUACCAGCACACCAGUGUUUGUAAGGGAAUGUGUUUUUUAAUCUCUAUAAUCUAUGAAACUGUAAAAAUGGCAAGUCAUAAAAUGGCUACAAAAUGAUUCACAUUUUUACUAACUUUACCAUAAUGCAGUAGUUUUGAAUUCUAGUAGUAUUAUAUAUAAUAAGGUGUGUAAACACAUAGAAAAUACAACAGUCUUGUUUGUCCGACAUGUUAAAUGCUUGUAUCUCAUUAGUUCUCUUUAUGGUAACACAAUUUUAAUGUACUUUCCAUGAGGAAUGGAGCUUUUUCCCUCCCUGAAAGUGCAAGGUAGUAGUGAUAGUUAAUAUCAGCAAAUAUGCCACAUCAUGUGUUUUGUUUUAUUAUUAAAUUCGCCUGCAAGCAAAGUGAAAUAAAGUUUGAGUUACAAUGCCA
ensembl:lncRNA